rnacentral:piRNA from 2 species
CUCCGGAGUGCUGGGAUUAAAGGCGU